GUGUGUCGUACCAGUCUGGACUUGUCGGAGCAGAACAGCAGGAGGUUGUCCAGGUAUAUAAUGCAGCAAAUUCCUUGUGCUCGAAGAUGAGAGACCACGGGCUUCAGUAGUUUGGUGAAGCACCAUGGGGCCGAGCUGAGGCCGAAAGGUAGGCACGUGAAUUGCCAGGGAAGGCCUUGCCAGUGGAAUCUUAGGAAUUGCCGGCAGGAUUGGUGGACGGGUACCGAUAGGUAUGCAACCUUCAAGUCUAGUCUUGUGAACCAAUCUUUGUCUUGUAAUAGGUCUCUCAGAAGAUGUAUGCCCUCCACCUUGAAGUGCCUGUACGUGACAUAUACUUUGAGUCGUCUCAAUUUUAUGAGGGGGCGGAAAUCUCCUGUUUUCUUCUUCACCAAGAAAAUGUUGCUGAAGAAACCCCGCCUUUCG